AGUGGAAGCUGGGGUGUCGGCGGGCGGCCGCGGCCGGGUCUAGCGGUGCCUGCGGAAGAAGGAGGAGGAGGGCUGGCGAUGAGAAGCAGCAGGGGGAAUCAAGGGCAAGAAGGGACCCAGAGGGGCAGGUGGCUGAGAUGCUGGCGUCCAGGUGACCCGAGGAAUCCUCUGGAGAUACAGGCCCGCGCAUGCGCGUGCUCGAGCGCUGAAGCCCAUUGCCCGCAGGGCGCUGGACUGGCGCCCCGGCCGGCGAGGCUGUCUAGUCCAGGCUCCAGGCCCCGGCUCUGGCCAGGCGCCGCCGCCUCCCGGUGCAGCUGAAAGUCGACGAAGAGGGCGGGGCGGGGGCGGCUUGUGGACUUCCACACUUUUCCUCUCUUCGGGCCAGUCUGGGGAGAGGGUGGCUAGCUGUGGCGGCGGCCAAUUACGUGGCGGACCUGCGGGGCUAAGCUGGCACGUCACUUCCGACUAGUGGAGUUUUUAGCCUUUUAACAUUCAAGGAUUAGAGCUCCCUCUUUGCCCACUAGCAGGGCAUUAGCUGGUGCUGAAGACAGUGGCUGCUUGGCGAGCCUGGAUCUCCAAGUGACCCCCUCAGCAACUCCUGAUGAACAGGUACUGUGUGCAGAAAUGUGAUUGAGAUUCAAGUCAGGGCCUCUCUGCCCUUUUCCCUCCAGAAACAAAACCAAGAUAAUUUAUCCUGAACACGGUGAAAAAAGGAAGGGAGGGAGGAGAAAAAGUCCGGGUCUCACCUGGGAUUCUCUGUCUCCUGCAACAUGAAGGAUUUAGCCUGGGAGGAGGUGGUGAGAACUCUGGGAGAGAAAAAAGAAGGAAAGAAUAGUUUUACCCAUGCUGAAGUUAAUUUAAACCUUCACCUAGAGAAGCAAAAAAAAAAAACCCACACUUUCCCAUUUUGUGCCUCCCUUCCUAGAGUUUUAGCCAAAGGUUUAGCUAAGUAAUUGGUUUUACCAGCGCACUCACUCCUCCUAUCCCAAGUCUGUUUGACUCCCUCCCCAUCAUCCUCCUCACCUCUUUUCAGGCAGGGUGGGGAUAGCAGCAGGAGGAGAUUUUGGGAGCCUGGCAACUCCUGCAAGGACCGCAGGACAGCCCCUCUGUGGGGAUGCGUGGUGCCCCAUCUGCCGCCCUUCUGAAGAAUGCACUGCCUUCACUUUUUACUGUGUUAGAGUCCAUCCAGACUGUUCUAUCCAAAAAAGUUUCUUUUUCCCCCACAGGCAAUCAGGAAAUGAUUCCUUUCCCGACUGCUUCUGUCUAGUGCCUGGGAAUCUUGAGUCAAUCCCUCAGUAAGUCAGUGACUAGGGAAAUCCCUCUCUGAGCCUCCCAGUUCAUGUUGCUUAGGGAACCUGAUAUUUUCGUGAAACCUGCCUACACAUGGGCAGCCCAACAGCAGAACAAAUGGUGGUGACCAAAGUGAACAAAGAAGUAUAGUUGUGCCAGCUUCGUAGUUGCCCAUGUGGACAAGUCAGCAGGAUCAGGACACGAGGAAGAGUAAAUGUGAGACAGUCAAUGUGACUUCUGCGAUAAACAGAUUUUUAAACCCCGAAAUUUUGCAAAAUUUUGGUGAAACCUGAACUUUCUUCGUUGCAUAUACUGGCACUAUCUGUACCAUCAUACAACUGUCUCACAUUAAAGCUAUUUUUCUUGGGCACUGAUGAGUAAGGUUGGUAUAAGUUCCUCAGAUCAACAAAAACCCAUUUUCCUGUAAGUCUUACAUUUAGUAUUUAAGGAACUAAAACUUAAAUACAUUUUGUGAAAUGGUUGACACUUCACUGAUAAUGAUUUAUUGCUUGGAUUAAUAAAUUUUCCAAAAGUUGUCUUAUGUAGAAUAUGGUUUGCAACCAGCAGAACCAUUAAUCUAUACUGCAAUGAUAUGCACUAUGUAUAAUUGUUUAAAAGCCUCUACUUAAUGAUGUAAAAUGCUCUAUUUAAUUACACAUUUGGGUAAACUGUA
rnacentral:lncRNA from 10 species